rnacentral:rRNA from 1 species
AGUGAACGCUGGCGGUAGGCCUAACACAUGCAAGUCGAACGGCAGCACAGUAAGAGCUUGCUCUUACGGGUGGCGAGUGGCGGACGGGUGAGGAAUACAUCGGAAUCUACUUUUUCGUGGGGGAUAACGUAGGGAAACUUACGCUAAUACCGUAUACGACCUACGGGUGAAAGCAGGGGAUCUUCGGACCUUGCGCGAUUGAAUGAGCCGAUGUCGGGUUAGCUAGUUGGCGGGGUAAAGGCCCACCAAGGCGACGAUCCGUAGCUGGUCUGAGAGGAUGAUCAGCCACACUGGAACUGAGACACGGUCCAGACUCCUACGGGAGGCAGCAGUGGGGAAUAUUGGACAAUGGGCGCAAGCCUGAUCCAGCCAUACCGCGUGGGUGAAGAAGGCCUUCGGGUUGUAAAGCCCUUUUGUUGGGAAAGAAAAGCAGCAGGUUAAUACCCCGCUGUUCUGACGGUACCCAAAGAAUAAGCACCGGCUAACUUCGUG